GAUCCUGGCUCAGGAUGAACGCUGGCGGCGUGCUUAACACAUGCAAGUCGAACGGAGUGCUCUUGAUUGAGGAUUCGUCCAAAUGAUAGAGUUACUUAGUGGCGGACGGGUGAGUAACGCGUGAGUAACCUGCCUUGGAGUGGGUAAUAACACAGUGAAAAUUGUGCUAAUACCGCAUGAUAUAUCGGUACCGCAUGGUAGUGAUAUCAAAGAUUUAUCGCU
rnacentral:rRNA from 1 species